rnacentral:rRNA from 1 species
UCCAUGAAGUCGGAAUCGCUAGUAAUCGCGGAUCAGAAUGCCGCGGUGAAUACGUUCCCGGGCCUUGUACACACCGCCCGUCACACCAUGGGAGUUUGUUGCACCAGAAGUAGGUAGUCUAACCGCAAGGAGGACGCUUACCACGGUGUGGCAGAUGACUGGGGUGAAGUCGUAACAAGGUAGCCGUAGGGGAACCUGCGGCUGGAUCACCUCCUUAA